AAUUACUGGGCGUAAAGGGCGUCUAGGCGGCCAGUCAAGUCGACGUUGAAAUUCCUCGGCUAAACUGAGGGAGGUACGUCGAAACUGACCGGCUAGAGGGACGUAGAGGUAAGCGGAACUCUCGGAGUAUCGGUGAAAUGCGUAGAAACCGAGAGGUACCCCGAUGGUGAAGACAGCUUACUGGGCGUCUCCUGACGCUGAAGCGCUAAGGCCAGGGGAGCAAAGGGGAUUAGAUACCCCCGUAGUCCUGGCUUCAAACGAUGUGGGCUUGGUGUCGGCCCCCUAUAGAGGGUCGUUGCCGGAGUUAACGCGUUAAGCCCACCGCCUGGGGAUUACGUCCGCAAGGAUGAAACUCAAGGGAAUUGACGGGGGCCCACACAACCGGUGGAGCACGUGGUUUAAUUCGACGAUAAGCGAAGAACCUUACCAGGGCUUGACCUAGCGGUAGUAGGACCCCGAAAGGGGAACGACCUCAAGCUUUGCUUGAGGAGCCGUGGCAGGUAUUGCAUGGCUGUCGUCAGCUCGUGUCGUGGGACGUUGGGUUAAGUCCCGUAACGAGCGCAACCCCUGCCCUUAAUUGCCAACGGGUAAUGCCGGGCACUAUAAGGGGACUGCCGGAGAAUAUCCGGAGGAAGGAGGGGAUGACGUCAAGUCAUUAUGAUCCUUAUGCUCUGGGCGACACACGUGCUACAAUGGGCACUACAAUGAGGAGCGAUUCCGCAAGGAGGAGCAAAUCUCAAAAAGGUGCCCCCAGUGCGGAUUGGGGUCUGCAACCCGACCCCAUGAAGAUGGAAUCGG
rnacentral:rRNA from 1 species